UACGGGGGGUGCAAGCGUUGUUCGGAAUCACUGGGCAUAAAGCGCGUGUAGGCGGUGAGAUAAGUCGGGUGUGAAAUCCCUCGGCCUAACCGAGGAAUUGCGCUCGAAACUAUCUUGCUUGAGGAUCAGAGGGGAGCCUGGAAUUCCUGGUGGAGCGGUGAAAUGCGUUGAUAUCAGGAGGAACACCGGCGGCGAAGGCGAGGCUCUGGCUGAUUUCUGACGCUGAGACGCGAAAGCUAGGGGAGCAAACGGG
rnacentral:rRNA from 1 species